rnacentral:misc_RNA from 1 species
UCGUGGUCCAUUACCUGCC